ACUAGCCUUUCAGUCUCACGCAUUUGCUUCCCUCUCUCAAACCCUAGCCUCAUCACUCUCCUCUAAGCUGUGUCACCACCGCCGUCCUACCGCCGCCGUCGAAUCUGGUCCAGUCGUCGUCCCUACUGUUUCAGCGUCGUCGCAGCUCAUCUCUGCCGUCGCGUCGCGCCGCAUAUGCUCCACCCUCCUCUGCUCGAACAAUCAUAGCUUAUUCCUCAAGCCGGUCUCAGUCCUCAUCUUUGUCUGCUUCGUCAUGCUACUGCCGCCGUCUGUCGUCGUCGUAGUCAUCGUUAAGUGACGAGACACACAAACAUAGAGAGAGAGAAUGCGCUGCGAAGGGGAAAGAAGGGGUGGAGGUCGCGGGAGGAGGCGCGCGAAUGGUGAGGCCUUUGCUUCUUUCGCCGUGUUUGAGGUCGAAGACGGCCGCCAGUGCUCCUACCUCUGUUGCUACCUCUGUCGUGCCUUGCCAUCAUGUUACCACUUAUUUCAAAAGUCCUCAUUCUUGUUCUACUUCAAAAUCAUGCUAAAUUUUUACCACAGUCGCACUAACAUGGGUCAUGGGACAGCGAUACAUGGAAACAUCCAAGAUUAUGCCUGCUGGUCUUGUAGCAGGACUUAGAUUUUCUUAAUCAAAGCCUUUGUGUGGAGAACAAGUUGGAACACAAGCUGACCAAACUGGAUCAAUAAGCUACAUUUAAUUCAAUCUUUUUCAGUUAUAUUAGUUAGCAAGUUGGAGCCAUUAUGUAGAGCACUGUGAUGGAUGUUUCAAGAAGAAAAUAUAAAAAAGACCAAACAGUUUCAUAGUGCAUGGUGCAAUCAAUGGAAACUGUGUUUUGGAGCUGAAAUCUCCAGUUCCCUAUCCCUAGAAUUUGAGAUGGUGUUGUAUUUAAGUAGGUAUUUCUAUAGGGAAAAAAA